rnacentral:tRNA from 1 species
UGCGGGACGUGUGAGACGUGAGCUCGCCGGGCUCAUAACCCGGAGGUCGCAGGUUCAAAUCCUGCCCCCGCUACCA